UUAGUACGAAUUAGCCACUUUUUAAUCAUUCGUCGAAUUCGUACGAAUUGGUCGUGAGAUAGCGUAGGACAGCUAUAAUUUAAAUGCGUUGUGCAAAAAUAAUUUAGCAAUUAAAAAAUGCAUAAAUAAGACAAUGUACUACUUAUCUUUAACAAUAUAGCUACCAAAGAGAUUGUAAAAUGCUUUAGUUCAUCGGAUCCUGCCUAAUCAUUCCCUGGUAUUUUGUUUUCAUACACUAGAGGGCGCUGUGAUCCACUGAAUUCAGGAGCAGCGCUGAUUCUCACAGCUCUCGCCGGGUGCAGUGGCGCGUGCCUGUAGUCCAAGCUACUGGGAGGCUGAGGCUGAUGGAUUGCUUGAGCUCAGGGGUUCUGGACUGCAAUGGACUAUGUCGAUCGGGUGUCCGUGCUAAGUUCGGUAUCGAUAUGGUGCUUCUGGGGGAGCCCGGGACCACCAGGUCGCCUAAGGAGGGGUGAACCGGCCCAGGUCGGAGACGAAGCAGGUCAAAGUCCCCGUGUCGAUCAGUAGUGGGAUCGUGCCUGGGAAUAGACACUGCAGUGCUGCCUGAGCGAUACAAGGGCGCUGUGAGCCACUGGAUUCAGGAGCAGCGCUGAUUCUCACAGCUCUCGCCGGGUGCAGUGGCGCGUGCCUGUAGUACAAGCUACUGGGAGGCUGAGGCUGGUGGAUCUCUUGAGCUCAGGGGUUCUGGACUGCAGUGGACUAUGUCGAUUGGAUGUCCGCGCUAAGUUCGGUAUCGAUAUGGUGUUCCUGGGGGAGCCCGGGACCACCAGGUCGCCUAAGGAGGGGUGAACCGGCCCAGGUCGGAGACGAAGCAGGUCAAAAUCCCCGUGUCGAUCAGUAGUGGGAUCGUGCCUGUGAAUAGACACUGCAGUGCUGCCUGAGCGAUACAAGGGCGCUGUGAGCCACUGGAUUCAGUAGCAGCGCUGAUUCUCACAGCUCUCGCCGGGUGCAGUGGCGCGCGCCUGUAGUCCAAGCUACUGGGAGGCUGAGGCUGAUGGAUUGCUUGAGCUCAGGGGUUCUGGACUGCAAUGGACUAUGUCGAUCGGGUGUCCGUGCUAAGUUCGGUAUCGAUAUGGUGCUUCUGGGGGAGCCCGGGACCACCAGGUCGCCUAAGGAGGGGUGAACCGGCCCAGGUCGGAGACGAAGCAGGUCAAAGUCCCCGUGUCGAUCAGUAGUGGGAUCGCGCCUGUGAAUAGACUCUGCAGUGCAGCCUGAGCGAUACAGCGAGACUCGGUCUUUUGUGUGAACAGUUAUUCUGUGGAAUCUAAUAAACAGCAGCAACAACAAAUGAACACAAAAUAAAGCCACU